ACGUAUAUAGUGUAUUAACACCUUAACUUUUCAUGUUAAAAAUAUGCUCAAGCAUUAUAUGUC
rnacentral:tRNA from 1 species